rnacentral:rRNA from 1 species
CACGUAGGCACCAAGCGUUGUCCGGAUUUAUUGGGCGUAAAGAGCUCGUAGGCGGUUCGGUAAGUCGGGUGUGAAAACUCUGGGCUCAACCCAGAGCCGCCACCCGAUACUGCUGUGACUUGAGUUCGGUAGGGGAGUAUGGAAUUCCCGGUGUAGCGGUGAAAUGCGCAGAUAUCGGGAGGAACACCAGUGGCGAAGGCGCCACUCUGGGCCGGUACUGACGCUGAGGAGCGAAAGCGUGGGUAGCAAACAGG